AGACAGCGCUAUCGCGCUUCCUCAGCCCGAACGGCAUCGAAGUAACGACUGGAUAAAACACUCUUGUUAUCAAUAACUCGUU
rnacentral:ncRNA from 1 species